rnacentral:rRNA from 1 species
GUAAACGUUGGGCACUAGGUGUGGGGGACAUUCCACGUUUUCCGCGCCGUAGCUAACGCAUUAAGUGCCCCGCCUGGGGAGUACGGCCGCAAGGCUAAAACUCAAAGGAAUUGACGGGGGCCCGCACAAGCGGCGGAGCAUGCGGAUUAAUUCGAUGCAACGCGAAGAACCUUACCAAGGCUUGACAUGGACUAGAUCGCCGCAGAGAUGCGGUUUCCCUUCGGGGCUGGUUCACAGGUGGUGCAUGGUUGUCGUCAGCUCGUGUCGUGAGAUGUUGGGUUAAGUCCCGCAACGAGCGCAACCCUCGUUCUAUGUUGCCAGCACGUUAUGGUGGGGACUCAUAGGAGACUGCCGGGGUCAACUCGGAGGAAGGUGGGGACGACGUCAAAUCAUCAUGCCCCUUAUGUCUUGGGCUUCACGCAUGCUACAAUGGCCGGUACAAAGGGUUGCGAUACUGUGAGGUGGAGCUAAUCCCAAAAAGCCGGUCUCAGUUCGGAUUGGGGUCUGCAACUCGACCCCAUGAAGUCGGAGUCGCUAGUAAUCGCAGAUCAGCAACGCUGCGGUGAAUACGUUCCCGGGCCUUGUACACACCGCCCGUCAAGUCACGAAAGUUGGUAACACCCGAAGCCGGUG